rnacentral:rRNA from 1 species
CCUGAACGCUGGCGGCGUGGCUAAGACAUGCAAGUCGCACGGUGUAGCAAUACACAGUGGCGAACGGGUGAGUAAUGAAUCGCUAAUGUACCCUGGACUCUGGGAUAGCCGGCCCGAAAGGCCGGGUAAGUACCAGAUGAGACCACAAGCAGGCAUCUGCUGGUGCUCAAAGGUCCGCCGGUCUGGGAGCAGGCGAUUUCGUAUCAGCUAGUUGGUGAGGUAACGGCUCACCAAGGCGACGACGCGUAGCCGGACUGAGAGGUUGGCCGGGCCACAUCGGGAC